CUGCAGUCACAUGGUCAAAACUGCAGUCACAUGGUCAAAACUGCAGUCACAUGGUCAAAACUCUUCACACAUUUAGCGAAACAGAAGUGUAUGUGGACCAAACUGUGAAUAAUUUUUCAUUGUUUUCACACAAAAUGCAUUCAAUGACCACAUUCUCCAAAAUCCAUGAACUAUUUUGUCAUUCAUAUUCCAUCAUCUGUAAAACUAUAUAUUUGCAGCACGUUUUGAAAUGCAAACGCACUGUUUCCAAAACUGUUAAAAACACAUUCAAAACAGAAUGAUGGCCAAUGUCGUACCUUUCUGCAGUUACCAGACUGAAACACUGGAAACAUGGACCAAGGAAGACGGGUUGGUGGGGGAAGAAGAGUGGCAGUGAGAGGGAGACAGGUUGUUGGGGGAAGAAGAGUGGCAGGGAGAGGGAGACAGGUUGGUGGGGAGAGAAGAGUGUCAGGGAGAGGGAGACAGGUUGGUAGGGAUAGAAGAGUGUCAGGGAGAGGGAGACAGGUUGGUGGGGGAAGAAGAGUGGCAGGGAGAGGGAGACAGGUUGGUGGGGGAAGAAGAGUGGCAGGGAGAGGGAGACAGGUGGGUGGGGGAAGAAGAGUGGCAGUGAGAGGGAGACAGGUUGUUGGGGGAAGAAGAGUGGCAGGGAGAGGGAGACAGGUUGGUGGGGGAAGAAGAGUGGCAGUGAGAGGGUGACAGGUUGUUGGGGGAAGAAGAGUGGCAGGGAGAGGGAGACAGGUUGGUGGGGAGAGAAGAGUGUCAGGGAGAGGGAGACAGGUUGGUGGGGAAGAAGAGUGUCAGGGAGAGGGAGACAGGUUGGUGGGGGAAGAAGAGUGGCAGGGAGAGGGAGACAGGUUGGUGGGGAAAGAAGAGUGGCAGGGAGAGGGAGACAGGUUGGUGGGGAGAGAAGAGUGGCAGGGAGAGGGAGACAGGUUGGUGGGGAGAGAAGAGUGGCAGGGAGAGGGAGACAGGUUGGUGGGGAGAGAAGAGUGGCAGGGAGAGGGAGACAGGUUGGUGGGGGAAGAAGAGUGGCAGGGAGAGGGAGACAGGUUGGUGGGGAGAGAAGAGUGGCAGGGAGAGGGAGACAGGUUGGUGGGGAGAGAAGAGUGGCAGGGAGAGGGAGACAGGUUGGUGGGGAGAGAAGAGUGGCAGGGAGAGGGAGACAGGUUGGUGGGGAGAGAAGAGUGGCAGGGAGAGGGAGACAGGUUGGUAGGGAUAGAAGAGUGGCAGGGAGAGGGAGACAGGUUGGUGGGGAGAUAAGAGUGUCAGGGAGAGGGAGACAGGUUGGUAGGGAUAGAAGAGUGGCAGGGAGAGGGAGACAGGUUGGUGGGGAGAUAAGAGUGUCAGGGAGAGGGAGACAGGUUGGUAGGGAUAGAAGAGUGUCAGGGAGAGGGAGACAGGUUGGUAGGGAUAGAAGAGUGUCAGGGAGAGGGAGACAGGUUGGUAGGGAUAGAAGAGUGGCAGGGAGAGGGAGACAGGUUGGUGGGGAGAGAAGAGUGUCAGGGAGAGGGAGACAGGUUGGUGGGGAGAGAAGAGUGGCAGGGAGAGGGAGACAGGUUGGUGGGGAGAGAAGAGUGGCAGGGAGAGGGAGACAGGUUGGUGGGGAGAGAAGAGUGUCAGGGAGAGGGAGACAGGUUGGUAGGGAUAGAAGAGUGGCAGGGAGAGGGAGACAGGUUGGUGGGGAGAGAAGAGUGGCAGGGAGAGGGAGACAGGUUGGUGGGGAGAGAAGAGUGGCAGGGAGAGGGAGACAGGUUGGUGGGGAGAGAAGAGUGGCAGGGAGAGGGAGACAGGUUGGUGGGGAGAGAAGAGUGGCAGGGAGAGGGAGACAGGUUGGUGGGGGAAGAAGAGUGGCAGGGAGAGGGAGACAGGUUGGUGGGGAGAGAAGAGUGGCAGGGAGAGGGAGACAGGUUGGUGGGGAGAGAAGAGUGACAGGGAGAGGGAGACAGGUUGGUGGGGAGAGAAGAGUGGCAGGGAGAGGGAGACAGGUUGGUGGGGAGAGAAGAGUGACAGGGAGAGGGAGACAGGUUGGUAGGGAUAGAAGAGUGGCAGGGAGAGGGAGAAUACAUGGAGGACAAAGGAGAGGAAGAACAAGAGCGGUGGUCUCUGAUGAGAUGAGGGCCACAAUUAUUGACAAUGUUGUAAACCAUGGUCUCUCUUUGAGAGAGGCCGGUUUAAGGCUGCAAUCAAAUUUGCAGGUUUCAACAGUUUCAUCAACAGUACAAAUUUUCCGGCAAAACUACAGGUGAGAUGUGUAUCAUUCAAUGAUAAUUGAAUUGUUUUGUGUUUUUCAGUAGGAUCCAAAGGUAGCCUCCCACAGGAGGGAGAGGCAAAAUAUUAUCAGAUGCGCAGCCACAAUGUCAAAAUUGACUCUAUCGUAAACAUUCAUGAAAACAAAAACAAACAUUUGGGCCAUGAUAAAGAUGUGAAAUUAGCGGAAUCGAGUGGUUUGGCCUAGAGUUUCUGUUUGUGAGGGUGGAGACGUCGCUUCAUUCUUUAGCACAAAGGUUAUCACAAUUGUUAACAGAAUCCCUCCCCAGAAGUAAAACAGGAAUUUACUAACUUUCACAAGAGAAUUUUACUUCUGGGUAACCGAGAUUAGAUUUGGACAACAAUAGGUCUGUGUCA